GUAUAUGCGGGUGCAGCAUCAUCAAGAUUCACAAGGCUUAUCAAUUUGAAGUUUCAUUAUAUAAAUUUGAGAAUCUUGAUGAUGCUGCAUCGACAAAUAC
rfam:Cicer arietinum chromosome Ca1, whole genome shotgun sequence.